GACUGGAUUAAGAAAAUGUGGCACAUAUACACCAUGGAAUACUAUGCAGCCAUAAAAAAUGAAGAGCUCAUGUCCUUCAUAGGGACAUGGAUGAAACUGGAAACCAUCAUUCUCAGCAAACUAUCGCAAGGACAAAAAACCAAACACCGCAUGUUCUCACUCAUAGGUGGGAAUUGAACAAUGAGAACACACGGACACAGGAAGGGGAACAUCACACUCCGGGGACUGUUGUGGGGUAGGGGGAGGGGGAGGGAUAGCAUUAGGAGACAUACCUAAUGCUAAAUGACGAGUUAAUAGGUGCAGCACACCAACAUGGCACAUGUAUACAUAUGUAACAAACCUGCAUGUUGUGCACAUGUACCCUAAAACAGUAUAAUAAUAAUUAAAUUAUAUUAAAUUAAAAUUUUUUAAAAAAACCUUAAUGUUCAAUAACAUGCGCCCUCUGUAGCGUAUGGGAUUGAGCGUUACCCAGGAAGCUCCUCCCACCCCGUGUGCUGGCCCUUCCUGCCUGCACUGGCUGAUCUGUGUUCUGUACUGUGGUUUUGCCUUUUCCCAGACAGCUUAUAAACAGAGCCACGCGGCACGGCACCUCCCGAGCCUGCUUCCUUCCCUCCGUGAGAUAAAGUCAAGACUCAUCCAGGUUGCCUGCAUCUGUAGGUCGCUGCUUUUCAUCCACUCAUUGGCAGAGGCACAUGCGGGUAGUGUGCUGGCUCUGAGUUGGUGGCUGGCAUGGACGUCGGCUACCAGCCUCUGCUUCCAUCCCUUGAGGGUAGGCGUGCUCUCUUGAAGUCUUGCCCACCCAGACUGAUCACAUGCGGUUCUGCUUUUCAGGCCCAGUGGCUGCCCUUGAGACAUGACCCCUCCCUCCCUGAGUGGGAGACCCAGCUCCUAAGCAGGGCAAGCAGGCCUGGCCCUGGGGUGGCCCGAGCACAGGCCCCAGAGCUGGGGUGGACACGGGCCACAGCACUGC
rnacentral:lncRNA from 10 species